GACGAACGCUGGCGGCGUGCCUAACACAUGCAAGUCGAGCGGUAACAGGUGUAGCAAUACAUGCUGACGAGCGGCGAACGGGUGAGUAAUGCUUCGGAAUCUUCCCAGUAGUGGGGAAUA
rnacentral:rRNA from 1 species